AACGAACGCUGGCGGCAGGCCUAACACAUGCAAGUCGAACGCCCCGCAAGGGGAGUGGCAGACGGGUGAGUAACGCGUGGGAACGUGCCCUUCGGUUCGGAAUAACUCAGGGAAACUUGAGCUAAUACCGGAUACGUCCGUAAGGAGAAAGAUUUAUUGCCGAAGGAUCGGCCCGCGUCGGAUUAGCUAGUUGGUGGGGUGAUGGCCUACCAAGGCGACGACGGGUAGCCGGCCUGAGAGGGCGACCGGCCACACUGGGACUGAGACACGGCCCAGACUCCUACGGGAGGCAGCAGUGGGGAAUCUUGCGCAAUGGGCGAAAGUCUGACGCAGCGACGCCGCGUGAGGGAUGACGGCCU
rnacentral:rRNA from 1 species